rnacentral:siRNA from 1 species
AGACGCACGAUUUCUGCCGCC